UUACAAAUUUCACUUGAUAAUUUACAUGGAAAUAUGAAAGGGUUCUUUCUCCAAGUGUCUUGCAAUUGACUUGGAAUCAGCGAGUUAAACAAAAGGGACUGAGCCUCUAACUCUGGGAAUUUCAAGGCUCCAGUUACAGCAGAUGACCUGCUGUCCCCUCCACCUGUGUCUAUGCAGGUCUGCCUUGGGAACCACCUCACACAUCAAUGCCUUCACUGUCCAUCUGUGUAUGUUAUUCAAAUUCACAUAAGUUAAGAUAAAGAUCCAGGAUGAUAAAAACCAAUCCUGAUGGGUGGGAUUAGAGAAUUACUUCUUUCUGUGGUUAAUAACACAAAGCAAUCCUGUUCAGGUUCUUUGGAUAAGCCUCCCUACUUUCCUUCUUCUGUUCUUGUUCUCCCUUAGCCCAAAGCAGCAAGCCAAGAUGGCGGAGUACUGCCGACUGAUCUUUGGGGAUGCCCUUCUCAUGGAGCCCCUGGAAAAAUAUCCACUGGAAUCUGGAGUUCCUCUUCCAAGCCCUAUGGAUUUAAUGUAUAAAAUUUUGGUGAAAAAUAAGAAGAAAUCACACAAGUCAUCAGAAGGAAGCGGCAAAAAGAAGCUCUCAGAACAAGCCUCCAACACCUACAGUGACUCCUCCAGCAUGUUCGAGCCCUCAUCCCCAGGAGCCGGAGAAGCUGAUACGGAAAGUGACGAUGACGAUGAUGAUGAUGACUGUAAAAAAUCUUCAAUGGAUGAGGGGACUGCUGGAAGUGAGGCUAUGGCCACAGAAGAAAUGUCUAAUCUGGUGAACUAUAUUCAGCCAGUCAAGUUUGAGUCAUUUGAAAUUUCAAAAAAAAGAAAUAAAAGUUUUGAAAUGUCUUCCUUCGUGGAAACCAAAGGACUUGAACAACUCACCAAGUCUCCAGUGGAAUUUGUAGAAUAUAACAAAAUGCAGCUUAGCAGGAUAUAUCCAAAAGGAACACGUGUGGAUUCAUCCAACUAUAUGCCUCAGCUCUUCUGGAAUGCAGGUUGUCAGAUGGUGGCACUUAAUUUCCAGACAAUGGACCUGGCUAUGCAAAUAAAUAUGGGGAUGUAUGAAUACAACGGGAAGAGUGGCUACAGAUUGAAGCCAGAGUUCAUGAGGAGGCCUGACAAGCAUUUUGAUCCAUUUACUGAAGGCAUCGUAGAUGGGAUAGUGGCAAACACUUUGUCUGUUAAGAUUAUUUCAGGUCAGUUUCUUUCUGAUAAGAAAGUUGGGACUUACGUGGAAGUGGAUAUGUUCGGUUUGCCUGUGGAUACAAGGAGGAAGGCAUUUAAGACCAAAACAUCCCAAGGAAAUGCUGUGAAUCCUGUCUGGGAGGAAGAACCUAUUGUGUUCAAAAAGGUGGUUCUUCCUACUCUGGCCUGUUUGAGAAUAGCAGUUUAUGAAGAAGGAGGUAAAUUCAUUGGCCACCGUAUCUUGCCAGUGCAAGCCAUUCGGCCAGGCUAUCACUAUAUCUGUCUAAGGAAUGAAAGGAACCAGCCUCUGACGCUGCCUGCUGUCUUUGUCUACAUAGAAGUGAAAGACUAUGUGCCAGACACAUAUGCAGAUGUCAUCGAAGCUUUAUCAAACCCAAUCCGAUAUGUGAACCUGAUGGAACAGAGAGCUAAGCAAUUGGCUGCUUUGACACUGGAAGAUGAAGAAGAAGUAAAGAAAGAGGCUGAUCCUGGAGAAACACCAUCAGAGGCUCCAAGUGAAGCGAGAACGACUCCAGCAGAAAAUGGGGUGAAUCACACUACAACCCUGACACCCAAGCCACCCUCCCAGGCUCUCCACAGCCAGCCAGCUCCAGGUUCUGUAAAGGCACCUGCCAAAACAGAGGAUCUUAUUCAGAGUGUCUUAACAGAAGUGGAAGCACAGACCAUCGAAGAACUAAAGCAACAGAAAUCGUUUGUGAAACUUCAAAAGAAACACUACAAAGAAAUGAAAGACCUGGUUAAGAGACACCACAAGAAAACCACUGACCUUAUCAAAGAACACACUACCAAGUAUAAUGAAAUUCAGAAUGACUACUUGAGAAGGAGAGCAGCUUUGGAAAAGUCCGCCAAAAAGGACAGUAAGAAAAAAUCGGAACCCAGCAGCCCUGAUCAUGGUUCAUCAACGAUUGAGCAAGACCUCGCUGCCCUGGAUGCUGAAAUGACCCAAAAGUUAAUAGACUUGAAGGACAAACAACAGCAGCAGCUGCUUAAUCUUCGGCAAGAACAGUAUUAUAGUGAAAAAUACCAGAAGCGAGAACAUAUUAAACUGCUUAUUCAAAAGUUGACGGAUGUCGCAGAAGAGUGUCAGAACAAUCAGUUAAAGAAGCUCAAAGAAAUCUGUGAG
rnacentral:sRNA from 1 species